UACAGAGGGGGCAAGCGUUGUUCGGAAUUACUGGGCGUAAAGGGCGCGUAGGCGGCCUUCUUAGUCGAACGUGAAAUCCCCGGGCUCAACCCGGGAACUGCGUCCGAUACUGGAAGGCUCGAAUCCGGGAGAGGGAUGUGGAAUUCCAGGUGUAGCGGUGAAAUGCGUAGAUAUCUGGAGGAACACCGGUGGCGAAGGCGGCAUCCUGGACCAAUAUUGACGCUGAGGAGCGAAAGCCAGGGGAGCAAACGGG
rnacentral:rRNA from 1 species